rnacentral:ncRNA from 1 species
AAGAGCCGUAUGACAGGAGACUGUCACGUACGGAUCUGUGGGAGCCCGAGAGUGCGAUCCCCUCGGGCUACCCGAC